CUCAAGUCACUGGCACCAUCAUUACUAUUUUAUAGAUGGGAAAAUGGGAGCUCAGAAAAAUCAAAGCUUGUACCCAAGUCUGCCUGAUGACUUCCCAUGCUCCUAAUCCCCUCUCAUUGGCUGCCUCUUGAAAAAGCCCAAGAGGAAACCUUAACAAGAUAGAAGGAAGUUAAGUAAACUAGAGAUCAAAACUCAGAUAUUCUUCCUGCAUCCCACCUGAGAGUAUGCACACUCUGCUUUGGAGAUCUCUGCACUCGUGUGGUCCUCACCAUAACCCGGUGAUCUUUAACUUCAAGUGACCUGAGAAGUUCUCCUUUUACUUUGGGAACAGCAUAAUGAAUACAACCAGGAAAGCUAUCCAAAUGUUACAGUGAAAACCCUAGAAGAAAUAAAAGCUGCAUGGAAAUACCCUGAGAAUGUUACAGGCUUCUUCUCUUUAUAUGUUCCCGCAAAUGAAGCCUCUGUGAUGUUAGAUCAAGGUAACAACUGGUUUUAUC